UUGACGCUGGCGGCAGGCUUACACAUGCAAGUCGAGCGGGNAAGGUUGCUUCGGUAACUGACCUAGCGGCGGACGGGUGAGUAAUGCUUAGGAAUCUGCCUAUUAGUGGGGGACAACAUUCCGAAAGGGAUGCUAAUACCGCAUACGUCCUACGGGAGAAAGCAGGGGAUCAUUUGACCUUGCGCUAAUAGAUGAGCCUAAGUCGGAUUAGCUAGUUGGUGGGGUAAAGGCCUACCAAGGCGACGAUCUGUAGCGGGUCUGAGAGGAUGAUCCGCCACACUGGGACUGAGACACGGCCCAGACUCCUACGGGAGGCAGCAGUGGGGAAUAUUGGACAAUGGGGGGAACCCUGAUCCAGCCAUGCCGCGUGUGUGAAGAAGGCCUUUUGGUUGUAAAGCACUUUAAGCGAGGAGGAGGCUCUCUUGGUUAAUACCUGAGAAGAGUGGACGUUACUCGCAGAAUAAGCACCGGCUAACUCUGUGCCAGCAGCCGCGGUAAUACAGAGGGUGCGAGCGUUAAUCGGAUUUACUGGGCGUAAAGCGCGCGUAGGUGGCUAAUUAAGUCAAAUGUGAAAUCCCCGAGCUUAACUUGGGAAUUGCAUUCGAUACUGGUUGGCUAGAGUAUGGGAGAGGAUGGUAGAAUUCCAGGUGUAGCGGUGAAAUGCGUAGAGAUCUGGAGGAAUACCGAUGGCGAAGGCAGCCAUCUGGCCUAAUACUGACACUGAGGUGCGAAAGCAUGGGGAGCAAACAGGAUUANAUNCCNUGGUAGUCCAUGCCGUAAACGAUGUCUACUANCCGUUGGGGGAUUUGAUCCUUUAGUGGCNCACCUACCNNAAANUAACCNCNUGGGGAAUCGGUCNCANACUAAACUCAAUGAUUGCCGGGCCCCCNANCGGGANCNUGGNUUAUNNAUCACNGAAAACUUCUGGCUNAAUAAAANUUCCNAANGAUGGGCUCGGACCAUCNGGCGANGGUGCCNCCNGCGNAUUGGUACCCC
rnacentral:rRNA from 1 species